CUUCACCGAACCCAACAGCAACGGCCGACCCCCCGACCGACCCUGACCAUAGGUGGCGAGCAGGGCCUGGGCCUC
rfam:Streptomyces sp. NBRC 110611 DNA, contig: scaffold00066.